CCUACGGGUGGCAGCAGUGAGGAAUAUUGGUCAAUGGACGCAAGUCUGAACCAGCCAUGCCGCGUGCAGGAAGACUGCUCUAUGAGUUGUAAACUGCUUUUGUACGAGGGUAAAGGCAGAUACGCGUAUCUGUCUGAAAGUAUUGUACGAAUAAGGAUCGGCUAACUCCGUGCCAGCAGCCGCGGUAAUACGGAGGAUUCAAGCGUUAUCCGGAUUUAUUGGGUUUAAAGGGUGCGUAGGCGGGUUGAUAAGUUAGUGGUGAAAGCCUGAGGCUCAACCUCGGAAUUGCAUUUGAUACUGGUCGGCUUGAGUGUAGUUGAGGUAGGCGGAAUGUGUGGUGUAGCGGUGAAAUGCUUAGAGAUCAUGCAGAACACCGAUUGCGAAGGCAGCUUACCAAGCUACUUCUGACGUUGAGGCACGAAAGCGUGGGGAGCAAACAGGAUUAGAUACCCGGGUAGUC
rnacentral:rRNA from 1 species